AACGCAUCUUGCGCUCCUUGGUAUUCUGAGGAGCAUGCCUGUUUGAGUGUCAUUUAAAACUUCUCAACUGCUUCUGAGCAGCUUGGAAAUGGGGGGUGUGCAGGCUAAGUGUAGUCUGCUCCCCUGAAAUGUAUUAGUGGCGUCUGGGCGGACUAACCACAGGUGUGGUAAAUUAUCAAUGCCUUGGUUAAUUUUGCUGCUGCUUCCAACCCUUAUAAAUGACCAACUUGACCUCAAAUCAGGUAGGAUUACCCGCUGAACUUAA
rnacentral:misc_RNA from 1 species